rnacentral:rRNA from 1 species
UACGUAGGGGGCAAGCGUUGUCCGGAAUCAUUGGGCGUAAAGCGCGUGUAGGCGGCUGGGUAAGUCCGCUCUGAAAGCCCGGGGCUCAACCCCGGGAGGCGGGUGGAUACUGCUCAGCUCGAGUCCGGAAGAGGAGUGUGGAAUUCCUGGUGUAGCGGUGAAAUGCGCAGAUAUCAGGAAGAACACCCGUGGCGAAGGCGGCUCUCUGGGACGGUACUGACGCUGAGACGCGAAAGCGUGGGGAGCGAACAGG